GAUGAAGAACGCAGCGAAAUGCGAUAAGUAAUGUGAAUUGCAGAAUUCCGUGAAUCAUCGAAUCUUUGAACGCACAUUGCGCCCUUUGGUAUUCCUUAGGGCAUGCCUGUUCGAGCGUCAUUUGAAACCUCAAGCUCAGCUUGGUGUUGGGUGUCUGUCCCCGCCUCACCGCGGGGACUCGCCUCAAAAUCAUUGGCGGCCGGUACGUUGGCUUCGAGCGCAGCAGAAACGCGAACUCGAGGCCCGGCGGAUCGGCGACCAGAAGUCACUUCUUCACAGUUUGACCUCGGAUCAGGUAGGGAUACCCGCUGAACUUAAGCAUAUCAAUAAGCGGAGGA
rnacentral:misc_RNA from 1 species